CUGGCGGCGUGCCUAAUACAUGCAAGUCGAGCGAACGGACGAGAAGCUUGCUUCUCUGAUGUUAGCGGCGGACGGGUGAGUAACACGUGGAUAACCUACCUAUAAGACUGGGAUAACUUCGGGAAACCGGAGCUAAUACCGGAUAAUAUUUUGAACCGCAUGGUUCAAAAGUGAAAGGCGGUCUUGCUGUCACUUAUAGAUGGAUCCGCGCUGCAUUAGCUAGUUGGUAAGGUAACGGCUUACCAAGGCAACGAUGCAUAGCCGACCUGAGAGGGUGUUCGGCCACACUGGAACUGAGACACGGUCCAGACUCCUACGGGAGGCAGCAGUAGGGAAUCUUCCGCAAUGGGCGAAAGCCUGACGGAGCAACGCCGCGUGAGUGAUGAAGGUCUUCGGAUCGUAAAACUCUGUUAUUAGGGAAGAACAUAUGUGUAAGUAACUGUGCACAUCUUGACGGUACCUAAUCAGAAAGCCACGGCUAACUACGUGCCAGCAGCCGCGGUAAUACGUAGGUGGCAAGCGUUAUCCGGAAUUAUUGGGCGUAAAGCGCGCGUGGGCGGUUUUUUAAGUCUGAUGUGAAAGCCCACGGCUCAACCGUGGAGGGUCAUUGGAAACUGGAAAACUUGAGUGCAGAAGAGGAAAGUGGAAUUCCAUGUGUAGCGGUGAAAUGCGCAGAGAUAUGGAGGAACACCAGUGGCGAAGGCGACUUUCUGGUCUGUAACUGACGCUGAUGUGCGAAAGCGUGGGG
rnacentral:rRNA from 1 species